GUCUGGUCCAAGUGCAGUGGUGUUUACAACUAAUUGAUCACAACCAGUUACAGAUUCCUUUGUUCCUUCUCCACUCCCACUGCUUCACUUGACUAGCCUAAA
rnacentral:Y_RNA from 1 species